CUCCGCCCCAAACAGUUACAUGGUAUUGUGAGCAUGUGGGUUUCUUUAACCCAUCAAAUUGAUCUUCUGGGUUUCUUUAAUUAUCGGAAAAGGUUGAGUCUUUCCUGCGGAAAAGCUAGGGUUUGUAUCUGAUGAGUUCCAAUACGGCGCCGUAUCUGCCGAUUCAGCUGUUCCCAGGAGGUCCAAGUGGCCCAAAUAUUCAAGAUUUACUCAGCAGGAACUUCCAGCAUGCAAGCCAAUUCUCACGCCAAAAUGGGUAAUCACAGCAUUCAUGCUCAUUGCAAUCGUUUUGAUAAACAUUAGAGUUGCUACCCUAUUUGCUUCCCGAUAUGUUGUUGAAAUUGUUGAUCGAUAUGAAACUGAUUGCAUACCAGCGUCCUCUGGAAGUGUUAAGGUCAUAUACAUCCAGACCUCGGGAAAUAAAACAUGCAACAGAACUCUGAUGGAAUCCAUGGUCAACAUUGAUCUACAAAUGACAUGAAUAACAGGGUUUGCAGUUGGUGAUGGCUCUUAUUGGUGUGAGUCGGCUGAUUUUCAGAUACAUAUCUUUCUUCCUUCUCAUUCUGCACAAGAUGUUUGUUUAUGAGUUCAUGCCUAAUGGUAAUGGUACCUAACGGAGAUGGGGAGAAUAUGGACUUUACAACAUUUGAAGUUUAUACGAUGCCUUUUUGGCUGGAGUUUCAUCUAGCUAAUCCUGUUUGCUUACUUUGAUAUAAGUCACAGAUAAAAUCAAGGGAAGCCUGGACUUCAGUAUGAGUUUACGUAUUGCUGUUGUUCAGCCAAAAGACUUCUUUAUCUCCAUUCCACCGAGAUAUGAAAGCCACCAACAUGGUUUUGGACUUCAGUUUCUGAAUCGUACCGACAAGAGUUAUGGGAAUAUGCCUCUGUAAGGAGAAAGAUAUGGACUUUGUACACUACUUGCAGUUCAGUGAUGGAAUGAGAGAGAGACGAGAGCAAUAUCUGGUUUCGAUCAUAUGAAAGAAGACAGUAGUCACCUUUGGAAUCUUCUAGUCUAGGAAAAUUUGUAUUUAGAUGUUAUAAUAUUCAAAAUAAUUAAGUUUUCCAUGAUAAUUUUUUUUUUAUUAAAAAAAGAAAUAUAGAGUCACCAAUAGAAUUGGUGUGGUGCUAAUUAUAUUGA